rnacentral:rRNA from 1 species
GUGGUUCAAAGGACGGUACAAAGAGGUGCAAGACCGCGAGGUGGAGGUAAUUUUAUAAAACCGUUUUCAGUUUGGAUUGUUGGGUGCAAAUUGCCUACAUGAAGGUGGAAUUGGUUGUAAUUGGGGAUCAGCAUGGCGCGGUGAAUACGUUUCCGGGCCUUGUACACACCGCCCGUCACACCCCGAGAGUUUGUAACACCCGAAGUCGGUGGGGUAACC